UACCAGCACCCCGAGUGGUCGGGACGAUUAUUUGGGCCUAAAGCAUCCGUAGCCGGUUUUACAAGUCCUCCGUUAAAUCCAGCUGCUUAACAGAUGGGCUGCGGAGGAUACUAUAAGACUAGGAGGCAGGAGAGGCAAGCGGUACUCAGUGGGUAGGGGUAAAAUCCGUUGAUCCAUUGAAGACCACCAGUGGCGAAGGCGGCUUGCCAGAAUGCGCUCGACGGUGAGGGAUGAAAGCUGGGGAGCAAACCGG
rnacentral:rRNA from 1 species